GCAUUGUAGCUUGCAUAUCAGUGAUCUAACUGCUAACUUCAACAUAUAAGUGAAUAUAUACUAUAUUUGUCCUUCUAGGUUUGGGUUACCUCACUCAGGAUGAUUUCUUUUCUCUAGGCCCACCUAUUUAUGUGCGAAUUUCAUGAUUUCCAUUUUAAAAGAUUAAUAUUCCAAGCCGGGCAUUGGUGGUGCACGCCUUGAAUCCCAGCACUCGGGAAGCAGAGGCAGGCGGAUCGCGUCUCAUGAGGAGAGCGAGCACGCUGAGAAACUAACGAAGCUGUGAAGCUGCAACACUAAGGAAGUACCCAAACCUGCCUGCAGGAUUGUCAAGAAACUAGACCGUGAUGACUGGGAGGGCAAGCUGAAUGUGCUGUCCUUGACAAAAGAGUGUGCGAAUCAGUCACUGUUGGAACUGUACAAACUGGCUACUGACAAAAACCAACCCCACUUAUGUGACUGCAUUGAGAAUCACUACUUGACCGAGCAGGUAAAAUCCAGGUUACUGAACCACCAUGUAACCAACUUGAGAAAGAUGUGAGACCCCGAAUCAGGCAUGGGGGAAUAUAUCUUUGCAAGAAUACCCUGGGACAAGGUGAUGAGAGCUAAGCUGACUUUCCCAAGACAGUGUAAUGAUGUCACUGGUCACCAAGACAGCACAUGCAGAAACAAAACAAAAAUCUACAGAAUUUCUAUGUGAAAAGGAGAAUGUUGACUAAGACAUGUUCCUUAUUCCUGUAGAAAGGAAAGACAUCUAUUGGGGUACAAGUGUGAAGAUGAUGGGAGAUGGAAGAGUGAAUAGUGUGAAGCUUAACUACCAUACCACAUCAUUUCCAAGUUAAAAAUGAAACGAUGAGGAAAAACAUUUAAAUCUUAACUUUACAUCCCUGACAGAAGAGGAAAAGAAAAGGGUCAAAUGACUCUAAUUUACAAAAGUGUACGGUAAUGUACCAUUACUGAAUUAACAGUUUGCUCAUUGUUUUUUAAAUUAAUGGGCUUAAGAUAUUAUUUUAAACUAUUAAUAUUGAAAAGAACAUUGUAGUGUAGAGGAAAUCAUCUGCUCAUACAUUUAAAAAAUAUGUGUUUUCUGGGCAAUGCCCCAACAUAAUAAUUGUGACUUCGAUAAGUAUGCAAGAUACCUUGACAAUUAUCAAAAUCUGUCAGAUGGAUCAUGAUAACUCAGACUAAAAACAAUCUUUGCAGUCAUGUUAGAGCCUCUAUGAUUUAGUUACUAUCCAUUAGGGGCAGGUCUCUGAAGCUUUAUUAUGGGUAUUAUGGUUUUACUCUUACAUGUUCCAUAUGUCUUCCAUAAGUAAAUAAUUUUUAUGUCUCCUCAUAACUAAUGCCUCAAGAAGAAAAAACCUAAAUGAAUCAAGGUGAAAGAAUGCAAAUGAAAUUUUACCUUCAUUUGAUGCUACAUAGAAAGCCUUAGAUUUCGAACCACAUAGAUAUGAGUUCAUAUUCAAUCUCUGUCACUGCCAGUGUAGUAUUGGCAAAAUGUCUUAAUACCCAAGAGCCGGACUUCUGGAGGCAUCACCAUCCCUAACUUUAAGCUCUAUUACAGAGCUAUAGUCCAGCUUGGUAUUGGCACAAAAUAGACAGGUAGACCAAUGGAAUAGAAUUGAAAACCCUGAUAUUAACCGA